rnacentral:antisense_RNA from 1 species
CUUUUGCCUCUUCUGGAUUUCAGGUAACAAAGCACCACAUUAGAUACUGAAGAUAGAAAUUUGCUUAAGAUAUGGUCUCAGCAUUCAACAGGCUGGUGUUCUGGUUGAGAAGGAGUACAUGGAUCUUUCUUUCUCCUAGCCCUGGAGACUAACAAAGUCUCACUCUGUUGCCCAGGCUGGUGUGCAGUGGCGCGAUCUCGGCUCACUGCAACCUCUGCCUCCCAGGUUCAAGCGAUUCUCCUGCCUCAGCCUCUCAAGUAGCUGGGACUACAGACUUCCUCUGACGCACAAACCUGGGAUGUGCUGUGCAAAUCAGCUACCUGGGCUUCCCACCUGUGGAUGCUCACUGACCUGGGGCCGCACCAGGUGAUUUCAGGACUUCCUCAGAGAAAACCCAGGCAAGACACCAGCAACAGAGCUACCCUGAUAAUUAUUAAAUUAGCUCUAUGUGGAGAAGC